rnacentral:rRNA from 1 species
UAACGCGAAGAACCUUACCCGGGCUUGAAAUGUACUCGACAGGACCCAGAGACGGGUCCCUCCUUCGGGCGAGUAUGUAGGUGCUGCAUGGUUGUCGUCAGCUCGUGCCGUGAGGUGUCGGCUUAAGUGCCAUAACGAGCGCAACCCUUCCCGCCGGUUACCAUCAUUCAGUUGGGGACUCCGGCGGCACUGCCAUCGCAAGAUGUGAGGAAGGCGGGGAUGACGUCAAAUCAGCACGGCCCUUACGUCCGGGGCCACACACGUGUUACAAUGGGGGGCACAGAGAGCUGGAUGCCGGCGACGGCAUUCGAAUCAUUAAAUCCCCUCCCAGUUCGGAUUGGAGUCUGCAACCCGACCCCAUGAAGCUGGAUUCGCUAGUAAUCGCGCAUCAGCCAAGGCGCGGUGAAUACGUUCCCGGGUCUUGUACACACCGA